rnacentral:rRNA from 1 species
UGGGGAAUUUUGCGCAAUGGGCGAAAGCCUGACGCAGCAACGCCGCGUGGAGGAUGAAGGUCUUCGGAUCGUAAACUCCUGUCAGUGGGGACGAAUGCUUCGAAAGAAGUUUGACUGUACCCGCUGAGGAAGCCACGGCUAACUCCGUGCCAGCAGCCGCGGUAAUACGGAGGUGGCAAGCGUUGUUCGGAAUUACUGGGCGUAAAGGGCGCGUAGGCGGUUUUGCAAGUCAGAUGUGAAAGCCCCGGGCUUAACUCGGGAAUUGCAUCUGAAACUGCUUAACUUGAGUCCUGGAUGGGGUAGUGGAAUUCCCAGUGUAGCGGUGAAAUGCGUAGAUAUUGGGAGGAACACCUGCGGCGAAGGCGGCUACCUGGACAGUGACUGACGCUGAGGCGCGAAAGCUAGGGGAGCGAACGG